UACGUAGGGUGCGAGCGUUGUCCGGAAUUACUGGGCGUAAAGAGCUCGUAGGUGGUUUGUCGCGUUGUUCGUGAAAACCGGGGGCUUAACCCUCGGCGUGCGGGCGAUACGGGCAGACUUGAGUACUGCAGGGGAGACUGGAAUUCCUGGUGUAGCGGUGGAAUGCGCAGAUAUCAGGAGGAACACCGGUGGCGAAGGCGGGUCUCUGGACCGAUACUGACGCUGAGGCGCGAAAGCGUGGGGAGCAAACAGG
rnacentral:rRNA from 1 species